rnacentral:lncRNA from 1 species
CUGGGUCCAGCUUCCAGGUAAUGUAACAGUCCUGCCUUGGCCCUGCCCACAAGGGGCAUUGUGACAUAUUGCUGAGCCCAGUACCUAGGUGAUAUGACUCUCCUGAAUUGCCCCUGCACUCAGGGGAGACUUUUGACCCUGCCCAAAGUGGCAAUUGUGACAUAUCUUUGGCCAGCACCCAGGAGAUCCAAACUUUGUUCCUGGUCUCUCUCCACAGUUGGAAUUGGGAACUACACAUGGGCACAGCUUACAGCUGGAUCCAGGUAUGAGAGUCAUCAUCUCACCUGUGAGCUGUGACCAUGUAUAUGUCGCAAUUUCACCUGUCAUCAGGAAGCAGACAUGAGAGUCCUAUCACCUGGGUGCUGGACGAAGUUUCGCUCUUGUUUCCCAGGCCGGAGCACAAUGGUGUGAUCUCGACUCACUGCAACCUCCGCCUCCCGGAUUCAAGCGAUUCUCCUGCCUCAGCCUGCCGAGUAGCUGGGAUUACAGAUGAAAAAAGAUGCAAAGAAGACAUAUUUGCUUUUUAUCCACACAUCAUUUCCAAUCACUAUGCUGAGCAAAGUCAAUGUGAGCAGAGCUGAGAAUAGCAGUUUUCUGGCAGGACGGCCACUUCUGAGCAAAAAAUGACACAAUAAAAGUAUAAAUAUUUAAUAGUAAGCUAAUAUAUUUUCAGCAAAUUAAGCAUAUGCAUUAAUAAAAUUAUUGUG